UGCACAUGGUCACAAUGGUCUUCCAAGCCUUUGUGGCUCUGUCCACAUUGCCUAAUGACAACACUGAUGCAACCAA
rnacentral:snoRNA from 1 species